CUAAUGCCAAGCUUUGCAUACAGUGGUCACAGACACCAGCAGCAUGCUCCCUUUACAGCACCCGUGAUGCGCUUUGUUGGGUUUUUGACUCCUGUGGAAUCGCUGGAAAAACAUCGCCGCUGGUCAUAGGGAACAUGGUUUCCCCUCAGGAGCAAGGGCAAGUCACUGCCCACUGGCACUCUGGGAGGACACAGAAAUACUGCCCAGGACUCAUCCCACAGUCUUGCUGAGGCACAUGCUCUUGCCGGAUGUGCUUCCACACAAAGCCCACUGAGUGAGUACAAGUUCCAAAAGUUAGAUCUGCAAAGGUCUGAGGAUCUUCAGCAUUUUGUCACUCCUGAGCAAGUGAGGAAAGAUGAAGGAAAGAAAUUAAGGAAAAGAAGAAAGCAAGCAAAAAACUUAGCAAAGAUGUCAUUGCAUAAUAGUCCAUUAUGCCUCCAAUUGAGCCGUCAUGAACUAUCAAAGAAAUAAUUGCACAAUAGACCAUAAUGGCUUAAUCGUGUCAACAUCUUUACAUUUACAUAUUUUUUUAAUCAAUGGAAAUUAAGUACAAAAAUGGGUCUUUUGGUUUCCAUCCUGAUUUUACCUUUGCGAUUGGGGGUGGGGUGAAGGACUGCGUUCCCUCUGCCACCUUCAGGGGAGGCUGGACGCCCUGCAAGUUUCCCGGAGGAUCUGAUGGUUUGUCUGUGGAUGCUGCAAGGGC
rnacentral:lncRNA from 1 species